rnacentral:rRNA from 1 species
GACGAACGCUGGCGGCGUGCUUAACACAUGCAAGUCGAACGGAAAGACCCUGCUUUUGUGGGGUGCUCGAGUGGCGAACGGGUGAGUAACACGUGAGUAACCUGCCCUUGACUUUGGGAUAACUUCAGGAAACUGGGGCUAAUACCGGAUAGGAGCUCCUGCUGCAUGGUGGGGGUUGGAAAGUUUCGGCGGUUGGGGAUGGACUCGCGGUUUAUCAGCUUGUUGGUGGGGUAGUGGCUUACCAAGGCUUUGACGGGUAGCCGGCCUGAGAGGGUGACCGGCCACAUUGGGACUGAGAUACGGCCCAGACUCCUACGGGAGGCAACAGUGGGGAAUAUUGCACAAUGGGCGGAAGCCUGAUGCAGCAACGCCGCGUGCGGGAUGACGGCCUUCGGGUUGUAAACCGCUUUCGCCUGUGACGAAGCGUGAGUGACGGUAAUGGGUAAAGAAGCACCGGCUAACUACGU